rnacentral:lncRNA from 1 species
UAUAGAAAGAGGGAGCCAACAAUCGACGACUAAGAAGGUCAUAGCGGUGGUUCUAUGUUUUGGCGAUGGUGGUGACUUCAAGAAACGAAGACCCGAUUAAGAUACCUUAACAAAUUGAGCCGUUCUAUGCUUUUUGGAGGUGUUUAAUCGUGUUUUCAUCUCGCCUUUGUGCUCGACUACUCAUCGGAAGGUAAACAUAGUUAUCACAUAUGUUUGAUGGAAGAUUGAACAAUAUGGUGAAGGGUCCUCGCGUUUUUAGUUUUUGGGCAACUAGAAAAGCCGCAGGACGAGGACGACUAGCUCAACGAUGCUAACGACUCAACGAUGCUAACGACUCAACGAUGCUAGCGGCGUGAAUCGUCUACGACUUUCAAAGAUUUCAAUCAAUAAUUGGAAAAAGAGAAACCUAAGGCGACUUCAAGUGCUAAAAAAACACCAAAACCGCCACGAUCCCAGGCGCACAAAGCUUUUUAACUGUAUGUUGCAGACCCGUAGCUGAUCAGGGAGCUUGCCAUGGUUAAGAGUGCGAGAAUGGAGCGUAUGAAAGGCUACCUCAUCCUCAUCCUCGCAUAUUCAAAGAAGGGAUGUCAAGAUUGAUGGGAAGGAGAAACACCUUUUGAAAAGCUGCCUACUAGGAAACAACCGCAUUUGGAAGCUGUAGUUCAAGAAGCCACGUCGCCUAGGACAAUGUCUUUUGCGCAAGUCCUGCAACUAACAUGCAUAAUGUUAGUCACGUAACUUGCAACCAAAACAUUUGUAUAAAACCUAGAUACUAACUUUUUGCUCCAUCUUAUGUGAUUAACCAUAUCGAUGUAACUCAAUGAUAACUAGCUGGAUGUAAAUAUAAAUCUAGCACCCGCCGCAUCGCGGCGGGUUACAUUUCUAGUUAUAUUUAUACAUAUUAACUUAAAUCAA